rnacentral:rRNA from 1 species
UACGUAGGUGGCAAGCGUUGUCCGGAUUUACUGGGCGUAAAGGAUGCGUAGGCGGAUAUUUAAGUCAGAUGUGAAAUACCCGGGCUUAACUUGGGUGCUGCAUUUGAAACUGGAUAUCUAGAGUGCAGGAGAGGAAAGUGGAAUUCCUAGUGUAGCGGUGAAAUGCGUAGAGAUUAGGAAGAACACCAGUGGCGAAGGCGACUUUCUGGACUGUAACUGACGCUGAGGCAUGAAAGCGUGGGGAGCAAACAGG